UGGGGAAUCUUGGACAAUGGGGGAAACCCUGAUCCAGCCAUGCCGCGUGAGCGAUGACGGCCUUAGGGUUGUAAAGCUCUUUCACCGGUGACGAUAAUGACGGUAGCCGGAGAAGAAGCCCCGGCUAACUCCGUGCGAGCAGCCGCGGUAAUACAGAGGGUGCAAACGUUGCUCGGAAUGACUGGGCGUAAAGCGCGCGCAGGUGGCCCGUUAAGUUGGCUGUGAAAUCCCCUGGCUCAACCAGGGAAGUGCAGUCGAUACUGGCGGGCUCGAGUCCCGGAGAGGGUGGUAGAAUUCCCAGUGUAGAGGUGAAAUUCGUAGAUAUUGGGAGGAAUACCGGUGGCGAAGGCGACCGCCUGGACGGGUACUGACACUGAGGCGCGAAAGCGUGGGGAGCAAACAGGAUUAGAUACCCGUGUAGUCC
rnacentral:rRNA from 1 species